GACAAAAUCACGUUGAAGCGCCGGUUCCCGUACGAUCAGCCAAGUUAAGCAACGUCGAGCAUGGUCUGUACCUAGAUGAGUGACCGCUUUGGAAUACCAAGUGCUGUAA
rnacentral:rRNA from 1 species